UUUAAACUUAAAGGAACACUCCUCUGCCCAUAUUUGGAAGAAGAAGAAAAGAGAAAUCACGGUUUAUUAGAUCCACCCCCAAUGAAUAGAUGCAGGCAUUUUCAGGCAUGUAUGCAUUGGGGGUAUAUCUUAAAACAAUGUGCAAAGGCUGCAGUUCUUAUGAAUUGCAGCCUUUGCAAACCCUCCCCUUUUUUCCCUGGAAGAGACAGUCUCAUCACGGGGAAAUCGUCAAUCAAAGGCUUCUCAUUGUAAAGAAUCUGAUGGGCUCCCUCCGUGUGCGCGUGCAUUGGCACAAGCAAUAUACUGAUCUGAGUUAUCCAGGCGGGGAGGUAGCAUAGCCAUUAAUUAUCUAUAAAAGGGCUGAUAUCUAAUAGAAAUUGGCACUUUUGUAAACUGUAAUUUUUAUGGGUGUGGAGGGUCCUUUAAGAGGAAGGUACAACAAAUAAAAUAGAUUUUGUGACCAAUUGAUAUUAACUACAGGAAUAUUGAACAUAUUAAGAACCAAGCGAACUGCAGACCUAAAGAAAACACAUUUUUUAUUAAUUGGCCCUUCCUCUUCAUGUGGUACCAUGGGGAUAACUAUUACUAUGCAUAGCUUUGUGGUAAAUGGCAGGAUUCAUUGCUUGUAUUCCAGCUCAUAGAUCAUUUUCAGUACAGUAGUUUUACUGGAAACCAUUGAUCAUUCUGAAGUGACAACACUGGUGCAAUGGAACCGAUACAUAAAAUGAUGAGCUAAAUGGUGAGCUGGAAUACACCCACACUGGGGGUGGUUCACUCAAUUCCAAAACAUAGUGAAUUAAAAACUGAAAAGUAAAAGAAGUUCUAAUGUGGAAUAAUUUCACAAGCUCAGCUAUACUUACAGUUGAUCUAUUUUCGCAUGUAUUUUUCAAUGAACUAUUAGUGAACAAAAUUCCACUGCAUUUCUACCGACGACUGUAAUCCAAAGAAAUCCUUUUCUUUUCUCAUUUCAUUUCUGUUAAUGCCUGGUAAUAUGUUGGACAGUAGUCUAUUCAAAUUAUGUUCAAUUGAAUAUUUCAUGUGUUAAUCAUUCUGUUGGAUAAGAUGUUUGUUGGAAGAAUAAACAAAUCUGUUUUUAUUUACUGUACAUUUUUCAUAACCUUUCCCUUUCAGUAGUUUUUAUGUUGUUUUAUGUUUGGUUUUUUUAUUGCAUAAAGGGUUACUCCAAGCAUCGUAACCAGUGCAGCACGUUUGCAAUGGUUUGCCCUCUUAUCUGGGUCCCCAGUGGCCAGUAAUGGCAUCGGCCAGAAGUCGGUAUCACCAGCCAGAUGAUACUGCUGCAGGUAGACUUACACCUCCACCCGUAAAUGGGUUAAACUCAGUAUGUGCAGUGUUUCAAAUCAAAACUCUGCAUGUACAGAUUCCAGAUCAAUGAAGUGGUCUGUGCUUGGAGUAAACCUUUAAAGCUUAUCAGUCAUCUAGAAUGAGUGUCUAAAAACUGUGUAUUGAGAAUUUUAAAGGAGAUUUGUCAUCCUUUUUUGAAGUUUUUUGUUUCAUUAAAUCAAUUGGGAAAACUUAAA